GCUUCGUAGCUCAGAUGGUAGAGCGCAUACUGAACAAAAGCGUAGGCGGCGCCCAUGUGUGGGUUCGAAUCCCAUCGAUAGUA
rnacentral:tRNA from 1 species